CAUCAAGUGGCAUCAAGUCAACUGUUUCUGUAGGGUUUCACUGGCUAGUGGCGACUUUGAGAGUUCGCAUCCCGCAGCUGUACGAAGAGUAAUUCAGACAAAAAGCCAAAGAAAGAGAGGGUCAGAGAGCGAAAUGGUAACUGUAGAUAUCGAAUACUGUGAUUCCUGAGGUUAUGGGAGCCGCUAUGAGGAGCUGGCCAAGGUUAUCAAGGCUAAAGUUCCUGAUGCGGUAGUUAAUGGCAUAGUGGGCCGCAAAACUUCUUUUGAAGUGAAGAUCGAUGGGAAAACUGUCCACUCCAAACUAGAAACAAUGGCAUUCCCUGAUUAUGAAGAGGUAGCAACUAUAACAUCUGAGGUUAAUGGAGGCGGAGAAGCGCGAACUGUAACCCAAACAGAAAGCUCCUGCACUAUACUUUAGUAUGAGGGUCAUCUUUGUGUAGACCUUUUUAGCCACAGACUAUUCCUUAGCUGUAUGGAUCCCACUAAGUAGAGGAUGAAUCUUGGCUAUACAAACUGCCAUGUCUUUACAAGUUAAGAUGAACAUCAUCCAAAGGCAAUAAUCAUCUGUAACAACCCUCUUAACAGAUCGAGGAAGUUUAGAAGCAUAGUUAUGGAAGUGCCGGUAAAAUUAACUUUGGAUAUUUUAGCCAUUUGUAAACUAAGGCAUUGUAAUGUAAUUUAUAUUUUUUUUAUGAGGUUUAUACAUAGUCAAAAGCUUCCCAUGAAAGAGCUUGUGCUUUUGUUUUUGAAUCGCUGCAAGACCAGCUGAGUAAGCCAUCAUUUUUUUUAGAUCUACUAAAUUGUGAUCCCUUGUACUUAUUGAGGAUUAUGCAUCAAUGUAUUAUGCAGGAAUGAUGCCAUAUAUUUCAUUGUACACAAAGUUUUCCUUUAAAAUUAUUUAAAUUCACUGUAGUUCCCAAUUCUUCUUUGACCACCAAAACACUUAAUAGUUGGAAUUACUUAAUAAUCCUUACGAGAUAUGAUGGAAUUGGAUUAAAUAUCUCUGAUGUGUCUGGUUCUUGAAGACUUUUAAAGCUGUAAGGAGAUUAAGUUGAAUUCCAACAUUUAAAGAGAAUGUUUGUUGAAAUAGAUGUUGGAAUACA